CUUCGAAGCUCUGGUUCUCGUAACAUCACCGAAGUUAAGCAACUUCGAGCCAGAUCAGUACUUAAAUGGAUGACCGCUUGAGAAUACAA